UCACUUUUGGAUGGUCCCGCGGCGUAUUAGCUAGAUGGUGAGGUAACGGCUCACCAUGGCAAUGAUACGUAGCCGACCUGAGAGGGUAAUCGGCCACAUUGGGACUGAGACACGGCCCAAACUCCUACGGGAGGCAGCAGUAGGGAAUCUUCCACAAUGGACGAAAGUCUGAUGGAGCAACGCCGCGUGAGUGAAGAAGGGUUUCGGCUCGUAAAACUCUGUUGUUAAAGAAGAACAUAUCUGAGAGUAACUGUUCAGGUAUUGACGGUAUUUAACCAGAAAGUCACGGCUAACUACGUGCCAGCAGCCGCCGUAAUACGUAGGUGGCAAGCGUUGUCCGGAUGUAUUGGGCCUAAAGCCGAGCGCAAGCGGUUUUUUAAGUCUGAUGUGAAAGCCUUCGGGUCAACCCAAGAAGCGCCUCGCAAACUGGGAAACUUGACUGCAGACGAGUACCCUGGAA
rnacentral:rRNA from 1 species